rnacentral:lncRNA from 1 species
GGAAGGUCAAUCUUAAAUGCUGUAUAGGAGGAUCUCAUUGAGAAGAUAUCAUUUGAGCAAAGAUGUAAAGCAAGGGAGGGAAUGAGUCAGUGGCUACAUAGCGAGAGUGUCCUAGGCAGAGGAAACAGCUUCUACAAAAGCCCUGAAGCAAGAGAAUGUUUGAAGUGUUCAAGAAUAAACAGGAGAUGCAGAAUGAAUGGAAUUGAGAGUGAGUGAGGCAGUCGGAUACAAGAGACUAAUAUGGGGCAGCACUGAAGACUGCUGACAGCAGCCACAUGAGUGAGCUCAGAGUGGACACAACAGCCCCUUCAGAGGCUGCAGGGAUGGCAGACAGCCUGACUGCAAUGUCGUGAAAGAUGCUGAGGCAGAACCAUGCAGCAAAGUCAUUCCCAGAUUCCUGACUCUCAGAAAAUGUGUGAGAUAAUAAAUGCUAUUAUUUUAAGCUGCUAAAUUUUGGGGCAAUUUACUACUUAGCAGUAGAUGCCUAACACAAGG